GCGGCGGACGGGUGAGUAAUGCCUAGGAAUCUGCCUGGUAGUGGGGGAUAACGUCCGGAAACGGACGCUAAUACCGCAUACGUCCUACGGGAGAAAGCAGGGGACCUUCGGGCCUUGCGCUAUCAGAUGAGCCUAGGUCGGAUUAGCUAGUUGGUGGGGUAAUGGCUCACCAAGGCGACGAUCCGUAACUGGUCUGAGAGGAUGAUCAGUCACACUGGAACUGAGACACGGUCCAGACUCCUACGGGAGGCAGCAGUGGGGAAUAUUGGACAAUGGGCGAAAGCCUGAUCCAGCCAUGCCGCGUGUGUGAAGAAGGUCUUCGGAUUGUAAAGCACUUUAAGUUGGGAGGAAGGGCAGUUGCCUAAUACGUAACUGUUUUGACGUUACCGACAGAAUAAGCACCGGCUAACUCUGUGCCAGCAGCCGCGGUAAUACAGAGGGUGCAAGCGUUAAUCGGAAUUACUGGGCGUAAAGCGCGCGUAGGUGGUUUGUUAAGUUGGAUGUGAAAUCCCCGGGCUCAACCUGGGAACUGCAUUCAAAACUGACUGACUAGAGUAUGGUAGAGGGUGGUGGAAUUUCCUGUGUAGCGGUGAAAUGCGUAGAUAUAGGAAGGAACACCAGUGGCGAA
rnacentral:rRNA from 1 species